rnacentral:rRNA from 1 species
UACGAAGGGGGCUAGCGUUGUUCGGAUUUACUGGGCGUAAAGCGCGCGUAGGCGGGUCACUAAGUCAGGGGUGAAAUCCCGAGGCUUAACCUCGGAACUGCCUUUGAUACUGGUGACCUGGAGAUCGGGAGAGGUUGGUGGAAUUCCGAGUGUAGAGGUGAAAUUCGUAGAUAUUCGGAGGAACACCAGAAGCGAAGGCGGCCAACUGGCCCGAUACUGACGGCUGAGGAGCGAAAGCGUGGGGAGCAAACAGG